UUAACCCAAAUUCAACGAAUAACAAAUUUAGAACUUGUGAUAUGGGCAUUUCUGUAUCUUCUUUCUUCAGUAGCCAAAAGAGAAAGAAGAAAAGAAAACCACUAAAAACCGAGUGUCACUGAAUCACACAUUUGGCACAACGAGUUUUCAUAAUGGCUUAAAUACAUCAAUGUUUAAGUUUGCCCAGGGUUCUCAUGCAUGAACAAUGAGUAUGCAUUCCCUUCAAAUUUUGUUUGUAGGAGAAAUUCCAUGCGGUUGAUUUGCCUUUACACUAACAGCUUAUUGUAGAAUCUGUCAAUUGAAAAGGUGCUCCAUGAGACCUUUAAUUACAAAAUGCUACAAACUCCGAAUAAAUCCAGCUGCGAAAUCCAUUCCCAAGCCAAUGUUGAACCAAAACAUUUCAAGGCCAUCUUUCCACGGAUGCUCAACUUUCUCAUGACCUUUAGGCAAUGCAUCUUCUGGGCAACUUUCCAACUGAGGUCUGCAGAGUCCACUAUUGCCGAUGUAGAUGGAUUUGUCAUCCAGAGUUUGGAGUGCGUUUCCAGAAGGAAUUAGGACACAAGUUCAAGUGACUUAAAAAAAGUUUAAAUCAGCAAUGCUGGUUGAAAUAGACCAAAACAAAUGGAGAGAGGGAAAGUUUUAUAAAGUAAAGUAAGGUGGGGAAGGUUUUAUAAAGUAGAGUAAGGUAAGAUAAGGAAAGGUAAGGUGACAAAAUCUUCUCAACCAUCCAAUUUAGUGGGUUGAAAAAGUGAGAAUUUUGAAGGUUUAGAAACCUUCAAAAAUCUUAUCUUCUUUAAAAUACUUUCCUCUCAAAACUCAUCAUUAAAAACUCAUCUUUCACUUCCAAAAACUUCCUCCUAAACAAGUUGUUAAGAGAUUUUAAUUUGUCAAUAUUCCAAGGGAUAUGCUCAUCUAAUUUGUUUCUAUAUAAAUUCAAGUUCUCUAGACUUGAAAGAUCCGUAAUUUCCUUAGGAAUCUCUCUAUAAAAAUUAUUUCCUGAAAGGUCAAUAAAAUAGAGAAAUCGAAGUGUACUGAUAUUUAAGCUGUAUUCCAUUGACAUAAACCACAGUGUUCUUCUUUUAACUUAUAUGAAGAUGUUCAAAAGCACUUACAGGGCGAGGAUAACUGUAAUAGUCCCGAAGUCCUGUGUCUUUACAGCCAUUGCUGUAAAAUUGCCGAAACAAGUAGGAAGGGUUCCGUUCACCAUGUUGUUUGCCAAGUUCAAUGUGCGAAGAGAAGCCAGGUAGCAAAGCUGCAGAGGAAUCUCACCUUCAAUCCUAUUGGAGUGAACAUCGAGUAUUAUCAAUGACAUUGGCGUAGUUUUUCCUUGCAUAUCAUUACUUUGUAAAUGUAGUGACGCAAGACUGCUCAAUGAACCCAAAGACUUUGGAAUAUGGCCACUCUGAAUAUUAUUUGAUAGAUCAAUCGUCCAUUAAAUCGCUCAAAUAGCACAAACAUCGGGGAAGACUUCCUGACAGCUGAUUUUUGGAUAGAUGAAGAAUUUCUAAUGAGUAAAUCCUGGAUAAAGAAGCUGGAAUGGUACAAUUCAAAUAGUUGUUGGAAAGAAUAAUAACUUAAAUCUUGGCAUAAUUUUGCUGAUCGUC
rnacentral:misc_RNA from 1 species